UACCCUACGGGAGGCAGCAGUAGGGAAUCUUCCACAAUGGGCGAAAGCCUGAUGGAGCAACGCCGCGUGGGUGAAGAAGGUCUUCGGAUCGUAAAACCCUGUUGUUAGAGAAGAAAGUGCGUGAGAGUAACUGUUCACGUUUCGACGGUAUCUAACCAGAAAGCCACGGCUAACUACGUGCCAGCAGCCGCGGUAAUACGUAGGUGGCAAGCGUUAUCCGGAUUUACUGGGUGUAAAGGGCGUGCAGCCGGGAAGACAAGUCAGAUGUGAAAUCCCGCGGCUCAACCGCGGAACUGCAUUUGAAA
rnacentral:rRNA from 1 species